rnacentral:rRNA from 1 species
NAACCAACAGGGAUUGCCUUAGUAACGGCGAGUGAAGCGGCAAAAGCUCAAAUUUGAAAUCUGGCACCUUCGGUGUCCGAGUUGUAAUUUGAAGAAGGUAACUUUGGAGUCAGCUCUUGUCUAUGUUCCUUGGAACAGGACGUCACAGAGGGUGAGAAUCCCGUGCGAUGAGAUGUCUGAUUCUAUGUAAAGUGCUUUCGAAGAGUCGAGUUGUUUGGGAAUGCAGCUCUAAGUGGGUGGUAAAUUCCAUCUAAAGCUAAAUAUUGGCGAGAGACCGAUAGCGAACAAGUACAGUGAUGGAAAGAUGAAAAGAACUUUGAAAAGAGAGUGAAAAAGUACGUGAAAUUGUUGAAAGGGAAGGGUUUGAGAUCAGACUUGGUAUUUUGUAUGUCUUGCUUUCGGGUGGGGCCUCUACAGUUUACUGGGCCAGCAUCGGUUUGGACGGUAGGAUAAUGACAUUGGAAUGUGGCACCACCUUGGUGGUGUGUUAUAGACUUUGUUGAUACUGCCUGUCUAGACCGAGGACUGCGUCUUUGACUAGGAUGCUGGCAUAAUGAUCUUAAACCGC